ensembl:lncRNA
UAUGAACAUUGGAGCAAAAGCCAAAGCCGGGGGCAGCCGACCCCUGGCUCCCCGCCUGCCCAGCUCCUCAGUACCAGGGCCUCUUGGGACUCCUAAAAGAUCAGGAACAGUGCCCCUACGAGCCACUGCUGAACCCCGAACUGUGGUGAAGAGGUCUCCAGGGGAACAGGCAGGAAGAGCAACCGCUGUCCCCAAGGUGACCACAGCCCUAUCUGGGCCCCCCAGAACCAGCAAGACAGGCUACAAUGUUCCUAGCACAGUGUCCAGGCAGCCUUUGGUGAGGAAAGCGGAACCAGCCCCAGGUGCUGGCCAAGCUUCCAGGAAUGACCCUUCUCCAAGAAUGUCUCCCCUUCAGACUGGUCCCUCCACAAGCAGGCCAGGGUCUCAGGGCUCCAAAGUGUGCACCCUAGCCAAGCAAGUCCGCUCUGCCCCAGCAGAGUCUGCAGCCAAGGCUAAAACAGCACUAGCUUCUACCCCCACAGGACGGAGCAAUGUGGCCCCAGCAGAGGCCAGGAGAGAUACUGCUCGACCAGCUCAGGGAGCCCAAGCCUCAAGGGCUGGGCUCCCUGGGUCACGUCUGCCUGGAGCCUCAGGACCUGAACCAGGGUCUCCGCGGGCUCCCCCCAAAUCCAAGGCCAGGCCCUCUCCCCUGCCCAAAGCCACAGCCCCUAGAAGAACCCCCAAGAGCCCUGGGGACCCUGUCUCCAGCCCAGCCUCUAUGGCCAGGAGGAAGUCCAGGGAAGGUUCUGUCGGGGUUCAGUCCCGCCUUCCUGGACCCACCCGUCGCCAGGACCGAGCCUCUACUGCCUCACUGGCCCAGCCCUCUCUUCAGGCCCCGCCCUCGACCGGCUCAGUAAUGCGGUCCACGGGUCCUUCCCUUCCCUCUAUACCUCCACCUAAUAGAAAAGAUAAGCAGGCCCACCCAUAGCCACGCCCCCUAAACAAGCCCUUCCCCCUUCCUUGCCCACACCUCCUCCAGAAGCCAAUUCUUCUCUGUCCACAUCUCCCCAGCAGCCCCUAUUCUCUCCCUUAGCCACACCUUCUCAACAAACCACGCCCCCUUCAUUGACCACACCCUCUCCACAAAUCAAAUCCUCUCUGUCCACAUCUCCCCAGGAGGCUCCACCCUCUCCCUUAGCCACAACUCCUAAACAAGCCCCUCCCCCUCCCUUGCCCACACCCCCUCCAGAAGUGAAUCCCUCUCUAUCCACAUCUCCCCAGCAGGCUCCACCCUCUCCCUUAACCACACCCUCUAAACAAGCCCCUCCCCCUUCCUUGCCCACAUUCCCUCUAGAAGCCAAUCCUUCUCUGUUCACAUCUCCCCAGCAGGCUCCACCCUCUCCCUUAGCCAUACCUCCUAAACAAUCCCCUCCCCCUUCCUUGCCCACACCCCCUCCAGAAGUCAAUCCCUCUGUCCAUCUCCCCAGCAGGCUCCACCCUCUCCCUUAGCCACACCUCCUAAACAAGCCCCUCCCCCUUCCUUGCCCACACCUCCUCCAGAAGCCAAUCCUUCACUGUUCAUAUCUCCCCAGCAGGCUCCACCCUCUCCCUUAGCCACACCUCCCAAACAAGGCCCUCCCCCUUCCUUGCCCACACCCCCUCCAGAAGCCAAUUCUUCUCUGUCCACAUCUCCCCAGCAGGCUCCAUCCUCUCCCUUAACCACACCCCCUCCAGAAGUCAAUUUCUCUCUGUUCAUAUCUCCCCAGCAGGCUCCACCUUCUCCUUUAGCCACCAGUCAUCUCCAGACCCAUCCUUCUCCCUCAGCCACAUCACUUCCUCAGGCUCCUCCCUCUCUGACCACAGCCCCUCAACGGGCUCCACCUUCUCCUCCCUUAGCCACACCCUUCCUCCAGGCCCCAUCCCCUCCAGCCACACCUCAUCCCGAGGCCCCUCCCUCUCCUGUGGCCACACCUAUCCAGGGUAUUCUC